rnacentral:rRNA from 1 species
AUUGAACGCUGGCGGCAGGCCUAACACAUGCAAGUCGAACGAGUGGCGGACGGGUGAGUAAUGUCGGGGAAACUGCGCGGUGGGGGGGGAUAACUACUGGAAACGGUAGCUAAUACCGCAUACCCUCGGAUGUGCCCAGAUGGGAUUAGCUAGGGGGGGGGGUAAGGGCUCACCGAGGCGACGAUCCCUAGCUGGUCUGAGAGGAUGACCAGCCACACUGGAACUGAGACACGGUCCAGACUCCUACGGGAGGCAGCAGUGGGGAAUAUUGCACAAUGGGCGCAAGCCUGAUGCAGCCAUGCCGCGUGUAUGAAGAAGGCCUUCGGGUUGUAAAGUACUUUCAGCGGGGAGGCGUUACUCGCAGAAGAAGCAUCGGCUAACUCCGUGCCAGCAGCCGCGGUAAUUC